ACAUCGCCGGGGCGGGAGACAGAGAGAGGGAAGGAGCCAAGCGUGGGGGGUCGCCAUGGUAGCGGCUGAUUCCCCUCAGUGUGGGCUCCCCUCAGCACCAGGUCCCCUCACGGCCGAGUCCCCUCAUGGCCGCUCCCCUCACGGCCGCUCCCCUCACGGCCGCUCCCCUCACGGCCGCUCCCCUCACGGCCGGGUCCCCUCACAGCCGGGUCCCCUCACGGCCGCUCCCCUCACGGCCGCUCCCCUCACGGCCGGGUCCCCUCACGGCCGCUCCCCUCACGGCCGCUCCCCGGGACCGACGGUCCGUUCGAGGGCAGCGGCAGCACCGUCAGCCUGCUCACUCACCCCGGUCUGGGACACAAGGAGUCAGGGGUAGGUGGCUGUUGAUGGGACAUGGUAUUUAGAAUUAAGAAUUUCCUUUUAAAAUCUAUUCCAGCGUGGAAGGUACUAAGUGAUGUGCCAGCCCAUGCCAAAGGACAGGUGGCGUCCAGUGGAGUUCUUCGCAUUCCUGUGGUUAUUGUAAAGUAUCUUCCACAUGCAAAAAAAAAAAAAGCCAUCAAAUCCCCCACGUUUUUAAUGGUUAUAGUCAUGGUGACACGUUAUUGAAGGAAAUUUAUAUCCAGCACCUGUCUCCCACUUGCCUCUGUACUCCAGCUAUUACCUCAUAUAUAUUUUAUUAUCUGUUCUGAUAGCAGGUUCACAACAAAUGGAAAAUAUGUACAGUGAUAAGCACAGGAAGCUGCAAUUUUACAUCUACAAGCUACGAUGAAAGCAAGAUGUUUGUUCUGCUCUUGGUGAAAAACAAGAGCAGAACUAUUUCUGAAAUGAGUUUUCCAAAUGAGCUUUCCUGUUUCAAAUUAUUCGUUUUUCUAACAAAAAAAAAAAUCUUUUAAAAAACACAUUGAAUUAAAGGUAUUGAAUUAAUUGCUUUAUUAAUUUGCCAAUAGUAAAGGAAAGAAAACUGUUUUGAGGAGGUUAUGCCUCCAUUUGAUAUUACUUAUGAUACUUAUAUAAAUCUUUGAAGCAGUCACGAGUUUUAAGUAUGUUUGAAAAAGCAAUAAACCAAAAUUGAUUGAGGAUGAUGGUACGCCAUAAAAACUCCCUGGUUCAAGGAAUUUCAAAAUUUAAUAAAAUAAAUGGUGUACUUUUCAAUCUGUUUAAAACAAACUGAGUUAAGUCCAGGAGAUUAAAAUUCUUCAAGGAAUGUUUCUUCAGUUGUGUUUGUGCAGCCCCUUCCCAGCUGCUUGAGAAACACCCUGGGAAUUCCUCUUGGCUCCAGCAUGUAACCUGAUUCAUGGCAAGGAACGAAGGAGGGAGAAACCCCAGUUUAUCAGAAAGAAGGAAAAAGUGCAGGUCAGGAAGAACAUGCUCCACAUGCUCCACAGCUGCUCUGUAACCACUGAGAGAAAUUAAUCCAGAAUCCCCCUGUGAGUAACGUGAGGCUGUGCCAGGGUCUGCUGUCGGACUGUGCUUGUGCCAGAGGAGAAGAUCUGGAUCUGUGUGAGAUGGAGAAGGUGUGAUGGGCAAGGGACGUCAGCCCAGCGCUCUGAACAGGAAAUCCGGAAAUCCACGCUUCAUUCCCAGUCCCAGCCUGGCAGAAACUGGAGCCAAAGGGCAAACUGUGACUCAGAGCCCGUGCCCUGCUGCAUCCCUGCGCCAAAUACUUCGUGGGAGCAGAAGUCUUCCCAGAAGCCAUUUGAAGAUUCCCAGAGAAUGUGGGGGUGAGCAACUCUGCGAGCAGACCCUUUGACCAAAGCUGACUCAGUCCUAGGGGACCCCAAGGCCUCUGCAAAGUCCAAGACUGUGAAUGCAAGGGGCCAUCUCCAGAUUGGAAUGCACCAGCUCCCAAAGGUGCCAGCAUUUUUCUGUUUGCCAUCAAGGGAGUCCAGCCAACUACAGUGUGAGCUGCUGCUUUGGGAUAGAUGCCUGAAGCUCCCUGGAAGUAAUUUUUGUAUCCUCUUACCCGUGUUUUGUGUUUAAUACAAUUCUGGAGCGUGUAGUCACCCCCUUCACUCUCAGGGACCAGUAAGAAGCUGUAGCUAAGCCAAAGGUUUUAUUAAAGCACAGAUAAACAAACUCAAUGAGAAUCCUAAAUUCCUCAUCCUCAUCUUCCCAAAUUAAUAAGCUCUAAAUGUUUUAUUGCGAUCAAUACUGAAUUUGACACAUAAAUCAAUUUUUACGCAGGACAAACCACAGAAUCACCCAGGACAAACUAUAAAAUUAACCAAGCACAAACCUCUUCUGUAGAUCAAUAAUCCACUCAUCCCAAAAGUUAUAUAAAAUAAGACAGAAGGACACUUCAAACACCAGGUACAGAACACAAAAAUGUGUUUUGUAGUAUUUUGCCACAAAAAUAUGAAUUCAUAUUACUGGUCAUAUGUGCCAUGACUACGACACCCACAGAAUCCUAAUUUCCCUUCCUCUGAACUCGUGACUCUGGGGAUGUUGCACAGUUAAAUGAACCAGGCUGAGAGCAGAAUGUGUGGAAAGGAAUCUCCAACAUUCCAACCCCCGUGAAUUUUAGCACAAAGGAAUGAGAAAGGAACAGGUAUCUGACUGCCUGUUUCAGGAAGGUGAGAAGUCAAUCACCCAAGAGUGACUUAGGUCUGUUCUGCCUUUAUUCAGGAAUGUCCUCAUCUACUUCAGCUCAAGAAGGUGGUCCAGGAAAACAUUCCUGAAGUACUACAGAUCUCUGAUAGCAGAAGCAGGACUCCUCCUCUGCAGGACAUUCCCAAUUUUCAAACCAUUCCUCAGCGUUUGAGCAUCACUCUCUAAGUUCAGUGUGGGCUGUUCAGACUGAUCAUCCUGUGCUGGUCACUUUUGGUUUGAUGUGGGCUCAUGCUUCUGUCUGCAGACUGGAUGGGUUUACCUCGGGAGUCAUUGACUCCUUACAGAGAGAAUUCACAUUUUAGCAUGGAAUUUUGCUCAUUGAAACAGUGGUACACAAAAAGGAGAUUAACUUCUGAUUCAUUGCUUUGAUUUUAUAUGGUUCAUAAAUUCAGUUUUAGGGGAUUUUGUACUGAAUAAAAAAUGCCAGUUUGGGCAAAAACAUCAAAAAAAAAAAAAAGUCACAUGUUACAAAGUAAUGCUCCAGAAUAAACCUUUUCUCUUAGCUACAACCAGGUCUGUAAUUUCCUACAUAGUUAUAGCCAUUUAUACUUGCAGCAUACCAGCAUCUCACAGCAGCUUAUCUUGUCUCUUUAGAGGGAAAUAAUCUUCUCACUAGCCAUUAUUUAGGUCAGUUUGUGGUUUAAUGAAUUUUCUUUUCUUAAAUAAAAGUGUU